UAGGGAAUCUUCGGCAAUGGACGAAAGUCUGACCGAGCAACGCCGCGUGAGUGAAGAAGGUUUUCGGAUCGUAAAACUCUGUUGUUAGAGAAGAACAAGGACGUUAGUAACUGAACGUCCCCUGACGGUAUCUAACCAGAAAGCCACGGCUAACUACGUGCCAGCAGCCGCGGUAAUACGUAGUUUGCAAUCGUUGUCCGUAUUUAUUGGGCGUAAAGCGAGUGCAGGCGGUUUCUUAAGUCUGAUGUGAAAGCCCCCGGCUCAACCGGGGAGGGUCAUUGGCAACUGGGAGACUUGGGUGCAGAAGAGGAGAGUGGAAUUCCAUGUGUAGCGGUGAAAUGCGUAGAUAUAUGGAGGAACACCAGUAGCGAAGGCGGCUGUCUGAUCUGUAACUGACGCUGAGGCUCGAAAGCGUGGGUGGCAAACAGA
rnacentral:rRNA from 1 species